ACUCCGUAGCUCAGUGGUUAGAGCAUCCGACUGGUGUACGGAAGUUCAAAUCCCAUCGGGACUG